CCAAAGUCAUGGUUAAGUGGGAAACGAUGUGGGAAGGCACAGACAGCCAGGAUGUUGGCUUAGAAGCAGCCAUCAUUUAAAGAAAGCGUAAUAGCUCACUGGUCGAGUCGGCCUGCGCGGAAGAUGUAACGGGGCUAAACCAUGCACCGAAGCUGCGGCAGCGACACUAUGUGUUGUUGGGUAGGGGAGCGUUCUGUAAGCCUGCGAAGGUGACCUGUGAGGGUUGCUGGAGGUAUCAGAAGUGCGAAUGCUGACAUAAGUAACGAUAAAGCGGGUGAAAAGCCCGCUCGCCGGAAGACCAAGGGUUCCUGUCCAACGUUAAUCGGGGCAGGGUGAGUCGACCCCUAAGGCGAGGCCGAAAGGCGUAGUCGAUGGGAAACAGGUUAAUAUUCCUGUACUUGGUGUUACUGCGAAGGGGGGACGGAGAAGGCUAUGUUAGCCGGGCGACGGUUGUCCCGGUUUAAGCAUGUAGGCUGGUUAUCCAGGCAAAUCCGGAUAAUCAAGGCUGAGGUGUGAUGACGAGGCACUACGGUGCUGAAGUAACAAAUGCCCUGCUUCCAGGAAAAGCCUCUAAGCAUCAGGUAACAUCAAAUCGUACCCCAAACCGACACAGGUGGUCAGGUAGAGAAUACCAAGGCGCUUGAGAGAACUCGGGUGAAGGAACUAGGCAAAAUGGUGCCGUAACUUCGGGAGAAGGCACGCUGGUGUGUAGGUGAAGUCCCUGCGGAUGGAGCUGAGACCAGUCG
rnacentral:rRNA from 1 species